CCUACGGGAGGCAGCAGUGGGGAAUAUUGCACAAUGGGGGAAACCCUGAUGCAGCGACGCCGCGUGAAGGAAGAAGUAUUUCGGUAUGUAAACUUCUAUCAGCAGGGAAGAAAAUGACGGUACCUGACUAAGAAGCCGCGGCUAACUACGUGCCAGCAGCCGCGGUAAGACGUAGGGGGCAAGCGUGAUCCGGAUUUACUGGGUGUAAAGGGAGCGUAGGCGGUUUAGCAAGUCAGAUGUGAAUGCCCGGGGCUCAACUCCGGGACUGCUUUUGAAACUGGUGCACUAGCUUGCAGGAGGGGUAACUGGAAUUCCUAGUGUAGCGGUGAAAUGCGUAGAUAUUAGGAGGAACACCAGUGGCGAAGGCGGCUUACUGGACUGUAAAUGACGCUGAGGCUCGACCGCGUGGGGAGCAAACAGGAUUAGAUACCCGAGUAGUU
rnacentral:rRNA from 1 species